UCCUUAGGUCGCUGGUUCGAUUCCGGCUCGAA
rnacentral:piRNA from 2 species